rnacentral:tRNA from 1 species
CAAGAGGUAUUUUAACACUAGAAUUCUGGUUUUGGAGGCCAGUGGCGAAGGGUGAAAAUCCCCCCCUUUUGA